ACUUUAAUGGGCUUUGGAUCAC
rnacentral:miRNA from 1 species